AUUGAACGCUGGCGGAAUGCUUUACACAUGCAAGUCGAACGGUAACAGGUCUUCGGAUGCUGACGAGUGGCGAACGGGUGAGUAAUAUAUCGGAACGUGCCCAGUCGUGGGGGAUAACGUAGCGAAAGUUACGCUAAUACCGCAUACGCCCUGAGGGGGAAAGCGGGGGACCGUAAGGCCUCGCGCGAUUAGAGCGGCCGAUAUCUGAUUAGCUUGUUGGUGGGGUAAAAGCCCACCAAGGCGACGAUCAGUAGCUGGUCUGAGAGGACGAUCAGCCACACUGGGACUGAGACACGGCCCAGACUCCUACGGGAGGCAGCAGUGGGGAAUUUUGGACAAUGGGGGGCAACCCUGAUCCAGCAAUGCCGCGUGCAGGAAGAAGGCCUCGGUUGUAAACGUGCUUUGUUACGGAACGAAAAAGGUACCGGGUUAAGUACCCUGGCGUCAUGACGGUACCGUAAGAAUAAGCACCGGCUAACUACGUAG
rnacentral:rRNA from 1 species